rnacentral:lncRNA from 1 species
AAAAUUAAAUAUAUCUUUUAAACAUUUAAAUAAGAGAAUAUGGAGAUUUUUUAUGAUUAAUUUUAUUGACAUAAAUUGUAAUGUAUUGAUAUUAGAGUUUUUUUAAUUCUAAAACUCUAAAAUAUAAUGUAUUGAUAUCAUAAUAUGUUGUUUUAAAUAAAUGACCAUAAAAAAUAGAAAUAGAGAAAGCGGGAGUUUAUAUAGACAAAGAUGAGUUAAUGUGAUGAAAAAACAAAACAAAUUGUGAAAAUAACUUAGAGCUACUUUUAUUAGAAAUAUGAAACCUAUAGUAGCCUUCACAAGGUAGAAUGAUUUACUUAUUUUCCACUUUUUUAUAAAAAUUAAAUAUACAUUUUGAACACUAAAAGAAGAUAAUAUGCAAAUCUUUAUGAUAAUUUAUUCAUUUAUAUUGUAAUGUAUUAAUAUUUGAAUUUUUUUAUCUAAAACUAUAAAAUAUAAUCUACUGAUAUCCUUAUAAGUAAGUUGUUUUAAUAUAAUGACCAUGAAAAAAAGAAAAAAAAAGAAAAUGACAUUUUAUAUAGACAAAGAUGAGUUAAAGCGAUGCGAAUCAAAACAAAUUGUGAAAAUAGCAUAGAACUACUUUUAUUAGAAACAUGAAACCUAUUAGAUGGAUAUAUGGGAAAACAGAUGAGUUUGAUU